ensembl:lncRNA
AUUAUACAGUACCUAACUAAAUAAAUGAGAGAAUAUACUGGUCUAAACUCUCUUAUUGUUUGAUGCUGUCUUGUUAUGAUAUGUCAUGUGAAAAGAACAUUGUUGUCAACGAAAGGUCAUUUUCAAAGCCCACCAAACAACAGUAGUGUUGUAACUAAUGUAACUAAUGCCCAAUAACAUCAAUAGCAGUAAUGCUCAAUAGCUGCGUGAUUUUUUCUAGAUGCAUUAGAAUAGUAAAAUAUCACUGACAAUGUUAUUCUCUAAGUUUGACUCUAGGGGGAGCCACAGCUAUAUAAAAAGAUACGUGAAGACGUGGGAACACGUGUUCAGAAGACAGGCUGCUUCUGUCUGCAUACCGGGCUUUGGAGGCUACAUACUAGAAACUUCAAAAUUCCAGAUACAGACCACCUGAACAAAUUCUGACAAGAAUGAGCAAACAAAACGUCCAGCAUUACCCUAAAAGAGAUUUGUGUUUCUUUGACAUUACAUUGUACUUUGUAUGUUUUGUUUUUUGUUGUCUGUUAAGUAUUUUACGAUUCCAUGCUGUAAAACUAUAAAACUAAAUGUCCUUGUUUUUUCCUUGUAUAAAUUUGUGACCAGUUGAAAUCAAAUCUGUCCAAAGUCUAGUUUAAUCACUUCAACUUUUUUUAUUACACAAUUUGAUUGUAUCAUAAAUAAAUCAUAAUUUUAUGACUAUUGUAUUCAGUCUAUUUGUUGAUUACUCUCUGGGUUUUUUAAUUUAUUUAUUUUUAAUUGUUUUUACAGUCUAGCAGCAGCAAAAAGUUCACAUGUAACACAAAACCAUGGGUUCAUCAGGAUUUCCCACAACUCAGUGAUGACUUAAGGAAAUCUCAUCCUCAACCUCACACAGAGAACUAUUGUCAGUCUCUCAGCAGGUCUGUGAGCCUGGCUCCCUGUUGGUUCUGUGUAGGGUUUCAGCAAAGGCAGCAAUGUGUACCCACUGUAUCUCUCUGUCAUUCAACUCUACUCAGAAAAGAGCACAUUCUUGUCUUCUCCUUGCUUUUCCCUAUCCAAUCUCACCUUCCUAGUUCCUUCAGGCUAUGCUGGUCCAUUGCUUUCGAAGACCCUUGUGAGAACUAUUAUUCAGGAAUUUAGGGGUUUGUGAACAGUAAAGGAGAUGUCAAGAUAAAAAAAGUGCUGCUGCGAACAGAUAUCUAUCAUAGCGAUACU